GGUUGUGUUUAUUAGAUGAAAAACCAAUUCUAUCAGCAAUGGUAGAAAACUUUUGGUGAAUCAUAAUAACUUUACGUAGCGUAUGGUCUUUGUACCGACGCAAUAUCAUUAAAAUUUCUGACCUAUCAUCUUGUAGUUAGCGUAGUGGGCUAACUAGGAAUCAACGGGUAACAGGGAACAGUGGUUCGAUUCUGGAGAGGGAGCCUGAGAGAUGGCUACCACUUCCAAGGAAGGCAGCAGGCGCGAAACUUAUCCAAUCUUAAUAAAAGGAGAUAGUGACAGGCAAUAACAAUGCUAGAUGGGGUAACCUGUUUAGUAAUUGGAAUGAGUACAAUUUAAAUCCCUUAACAAGGAACAAUUAGAGGGCAAGUCUGGUGCCAGCAGCCGCGGUAAUUCCAGCAUCUAAAAUUUUACAUUAAAUUUGUUGCAGUUAAAAAGCUCGUAGUUUGAUUAAGGAUGUGAAAUUUAAAAUGGAAAUGAAUUAUGAAUUUUAUUUUAUUUAUUUAUUUCCAUCACAUCUUUAUGAUAAAAUUACAUCAUUAUGUAAUUUAUUUUAUGUAAUGAAUGUUUUUAUCCUUUUACUUUGAAACAAUUAGAGUGUUUAAAGCAAGCAAUAAUUUUUUAUGCUUUGAAUAUUUUAGCAUCGGAUAAUAAAAUAUGACUCUUUAUUCUAUUUUAUUGGUUUUUUAGAAUAAAAAGAAAUGGUAUUGUAAAAAAUAACAUUUCUGGAGUAAUGAUAAAUAGAAAUAGUUGGGGGUGUUUAUAUUUCAUUGUCAGAGGUGAAAUUCUUGGAUUUAUGAAAGAUAAACUUGUGCGAAAGCAUUCAUCAAGAAUAUUUUCAUGUGACAAAGAACGAAAGUUAGAGGCUUGAAGAUGAUCAGAUACCGUCGUAAUUCUAACAGUAAACGAUGCCGACCAGGGAUUAGAGAGAGUGUUAAACGGAGGAUAAUUUCGAUUAUUCUCUAUAACUUCUUUAGAACCUUUGAGAGAAAUCAUUGAGUUUUUAGGUUCUGGGGGAAGUAUGGUCGCAAGGCUGAAACUUAAAAGAAUUGACGGAAGGGCACACCAGGAGUGGAGCCUGCGGUUUAAUUUGACCCAACACGGGGAAACUCACCAGGUCCAGACAUAGUGAGGAUUGACAGAUUGAGAGCUCUUUCUUGAUUCUAUGGGUGGUGGUGCAUGGCCGUUCUUAGUUGGUGGA
rnacentral:rRNA from 1 species